rnacentral:lncRNA from 1 species
CUAGGCAUUUCCCAUUAUGGACCCAGAGGUUAGGUUCACAUUGUUCUUCCACAUUGAUCAAAAUAAGGUGUCCAAAGCCUGGAAACCAUUAAUCACAUUAUUAAUGGGCUUAAACAUUAUCAAAUGGAUCAUAAUAUUAGUUUGUUUUUGAUAAAAUAAAAUAUUCAAUUAAUAGUAGCCCAAAAAAUUAAUAGGGAAAUUCUAA